GUGAGGAAUAUUGGACAAUGGGCGCAAGCCUGAUCCAGCCAUGCCGCGUGCAGGAAGACGCAUCUAUGGUGUGUAAACUGCUUUUGUACGGGAAGAAACACUCCCUCGUGAGGGAGCUUGACGGUACCGUAAGAAUAAGGAUCGGCUAACUCCGUGCCAGCAGCCGCGGUAAUACGGAGGAUCCAAGCGUUAUCCGGCAUCAUUGGGUUUAAAGGGUCCGUAGGCGGUUUAAUAAGUCAGUGGUGAAAGCCCAUCGCUCAACGAUGGAACGGGCAUUGAUACUGUUAGACUUGAAUUACAAGGAAGUAACUAGAAUAUGUAGUGUAGCGGUGAAAUGCUUAGAUAUUACAUGGAAUACCAAUUGCGAAGGCAGGUUACUACUUGUGGAUUGACGCUGAUGGACGAAAGCGUGGGGAGCGAACAGGAUUAGAUACCCUAGUAGUCC
rnacentral:rRNA from 1 species